AUGAUGAUGAAGGUUAGCCCAAGGGUCAGCGUUCACGUUUGCUUGUGCAACACUAGACAUGGGAAGGAGUGCCCCCAUUACAAUAAAAGAGGGGACAGCGCCACAGCCGAUUCACCAGAGAAAAUGAAGCCGGAGCAGGCCACCCACAACAAGAUGACCACGGCGACGUCCUCCCCGUCCCCUGUCGUCGGCCUGCGGGGCGUGGUGAGCUCCCUCGUCGCCUUCUUCAUCGUCGUCAGCACCGUCUCCCUGCUGUUCGACCGCGGCCACGAGUCGCAGGUGCAGCUGGCGGUCCAGCACCGGCACCAGGAGGUGAAGGUGGCGGCGGCCGGGGGCCACGAGGCGCAGGUGCAGUGGACGGACGAGCUCAUGGGCGAGGCCAUGAGGGGCUCCGGCGAGGAGUGCAACUGGUCCUUGGGACGGUGGGUGUACGACAACACCUCCCAGCCGCUCUACUCCGGCCUCAACUGCUCCUUCAUCUUCGACGAGGUCGCCUGCGAGAAGUAUGGCCGGAAUGACACCAGGUACCAGUAUUGGAGAUGGCAGCCCGAUGGAUGUGAUCUUCCAAGGUUCAACGCCACGAAACUGCUCGAAAAGCUGAGGAACAAGAGGAUGGUCUUCGUCGGCGACUCAAUCAACCGGAACCAAUGGGUCUCCAUGGUGUGCAUGGUGGAGGCCUCCAUCCCUGAAGGCCAGAAGAUGCGCGUUUACAACGGCUCACUCAUCUCCUUCACGGCAUUCGAAUACAAUGCGACAAUCGACUUCUACUGGUCGCCGCUGAUACUAGAAUCCAACAGCGACAACCCGAUAAUUCACCGGGUUGAGUACCGGAUCAUACGGGCGGAGAAGAUUGAGAAGCAUGCCCGUGCCUGGGGCAAUGCUGACGUUAUUGUUUUCAACUCUUACCUUUGGUGGAGGAAGCAGAAGCCCGAUAUGAAGAUGAAGGUCAUGUAUGGCUCAUUUGAGGAUGGUGAUGCAAAGCUAGACGAAGUGGAGAUGGUGGAAGGUUUCGAGAUUGCUCUCAAGAAACUAACCGAAUGGGUGGGAGCGAACGUCAACAACAAGACCAAAAUCUAUUUCGCAGGCUCGUCGCCUACCCAUACCUGGGCAAGCGACUGGGGCGGAGACGACAGCAACAAGUGCCUGAACGAGUCGGAGCCGAUCCAGAAGGUCGGGUACAAAGGCGCGACCACGGACUACAGCAUGAUGGACAAGGCGAAGCAGAUCUUCAGACCACUGGAGCAGAAAGGCAUAAACGUUCAGAUACUCAACUUCACCCAGCUGACCGACUACCGCAUCGACGCGCACCCCACCGUGUUCCGGCGGCAGUUCACCCCCCUCACGAAGGAGCAGAUCGCCAACCCGAGCAGCUACGCCGACUGCACGCACUGGUGCCUCCCCGGCGUCCCUGACGUGUGGAACCACUUCCUCUACUCGUAUCUCGUGCAGAAAUGA
rnacentral:rRNA from 1 species